GCGUGCGUCGUUCAAGGGCAGGAUGGCGCGGACACCACCGCGCAGAUGGGGGUUCGAAUCCCACCCGCACGCUCCA
rnacentral:tRNA from 1 species